AGUGAACGCUGGCGGUAGGCCUAACACAUGCUAGUCGAACGGCAGCACAGUAAGAGCUUGCUCUUACGGGUGGCGAGUGGCGGACGGGUGAGGAAUACAUCGGAAUCUACUUUUUCGUGGGGGAUAACGUAGGGAAACUUACGCUAAUACCGCAUACGACCUACGGGUGGAAGCAGGGGAUCUUCGGACCUUGCGCGAUUGAAUGAGCCGAUGUCGGAUUAGCUAGUUGGCGGGGUAAAGGCCCACCAAGGCGACGAUCCGUAGCUGGUCUGAGAGGAUGAUCAGCCACACUGGAACUGAGACACGGUCCAGACUCCUACGGGAGGCAGCAGUGGGGAAUAUUGGACAAUGGGCGCAAGCCUGAUCCAGCCAUACCGCGUGGGUGAAGAAGGCCUUCGGGUUGUAAAGCCCUUUUGUUGGGAAAGAAAAGCAGCAGGUUAAUACCCCGCUGUUCUGACGGUACCCAAAGAAUAAGCACCGGCUAACUUCGUG
rnacentral:rRNA from 1 species